CCAGAGUCACCAUGUGAUCCCAGGAUGAGGACACCAAUGGAAGGCGUCUGAUAACAUAAUAGGAUGCCAUGAGCUUGAACCGAUGUUUGGCUGAGGGUCUCAGCAUCUGUUUCCACCAGUUACUGGAUGAAGCCUCUCUGAUGAUGGUUGGGGAAAUUGAAGAAAAGAAGAGGACACUGUUGUAUGAAUAAAAUACAAAAUGUUAUGCUGAUUACAUUAUGUUUCCUUUGUGUGAGCUUUUUUGGGUUCAUCUUCCCACAAAGGUUUGAUUUGUGUGUAAUGGUGAUUCUGUUUGGAAAGCAUUGGAUACAUUGUCAGCUAAAUCAAGUAAUUUGGACCGUAUCAAGAUACAGAGCUGCUUAGAAGUGUAGUUGCACGGAGACUCAGAAUUGAAAUAGGAAGAGCAUGAAGGCAAGUGUUAACUACUACACUUUCAGAAUAUCUUCUUAUCCUGGUAAAGUCCAUAUUCUACAAGAACUAGGUGAGGGAUCUCUUGGCACGCUGAAUCACUUCCAUUGAAGAGAUGCAAGGUUACAUUCUCCCACAAGAAUAGAAAAACAUAUAUCCUGGGGAUAAGUCUACAGAGAAACAGAAGGGAAGUGGAGGGAGGUGGAAGACAGAAAGGAGUGGAGGGAAAAGACAAACAUGUCAUGUAAAAUAAAUAAAAAACAUUUCUAUAAAAUUCAUCCAGUUUGUUUCUCUUACCCUUCCAUGUUUUUCACCCUUGCCCUCACUUAUAAUCACCCUCCCUAAUUAUUCAAAGUAGUUCUUAAAUAGUAGUAUUUCUAUUACU